rnacentral:rRNA from 1 species
UCGAACGGCAGCACAGAAGAGCUUGCUCUUUGGGUGGCGAGUGGCGGACGGGUGAGUAACACGUAGGAAUCUACCCAGUAGUGGGGGAUAACCUGGGGAAACCCAGGCUAAUACCGCAUACGCCCUGAGGGGGAAAGCGGGGGAUCUUCGGACCUCGCGCUAUUGGAUGAGCCUGCGUCGGAUUAGCUAGUUGGUGGGGUAAGGGCCCACCAAGGCGACGAUCCGUAGCUGGUCUGAGAGGAUGACCAGUCACACCGGAACUGAGACACGGUCCGGACUCCUACGGGAGGCAGCAGUGGGGAAUAUUGGACAAUGGGCGCAAGCCUGAUCCAGCCAUGCCGCGUGGGUGAAGAAGGCCUUCGGGUUGUAAAGCCCUUUAGGUGGGGAGGAAGGCAUUCAUGCUAAUACCAUGGAUGAUUGACGUUACCCACAGAAUAAGCACCGGCUAACUCCGUGCCAGCAGCCGCGGUAAUACGGAGGGUGCAAGCGUUAAUCGGAAUUACUGGGCGUAAAGCGCACGUAGGCGGUUUGACAAGUGGGAUGUGAAAGCCCUGGGCUCAACCUGGGAACUGCAUCCCAAACUGUCAGGCUAGAGUAUGGUAGAGGGGGGCGGAAUUCCCGGUGUAGCGGUGAAAUGCGUAGAGAUCGGGAGGAACAUCAGUGGCGAAGGCGGCCCCCUGGACUGAUACUGACGCUGAGGUGCGAAAGCGUGGGGAUCAAACAGGAUUAGAUACCCUGGUAGUCCACGCUGUAAACGAUGAGAACUGGCCGUCGGGGCCCUUCGGGGUUUGGUGGCGUAGCUAACGCGCUAAGUUCUCCGCCUGGGGAGUACGGACGCAAAGGCUAAAACUCAAAUGAAUUGACGGGGGCCCGCACAAGCGGUGGAGCAUGUGGUUUAAUUCGAUGCAACGCGAAGAACCUUACCUGCCCUUGACAUCCUCGGAACUUGUCAGAGAUGACUUGUGCCUUCGGGAACCGAGAGACAGGAGCUGCAUGGCUGUCGUCAGAUCGUGUCGUGAGAUGAUGGGAAAGUCCCGUAACGAGCGCA